CCGACCCCUGGUGUGGGAGUGGGGCUGCUAGAGCCACCCCAUGUGAGCUCAGGAAAGAGAGGAAUGUCACCGAGGCUGGGCGUGGCUGGGAUAACUCAGCCAGCUGUGGGUUUUUCUUGGGGCCCAGGGAGACCUGAGCAGAGAUGGAGGCCCCUCUCCCGGCCCCCGACACACACACUAGGACCUUUCUUCC
ensembl:misc_RNA